rnacentral:rRNA from 1 species
CAGUAGCCGCGGUAAAACGGAGGGUGCAAGCGUUAAUCGGAAUUACUGGGCGUAAAGCGUGCGUAGGUGGUUUGUUAAGUUGGAUGUGAAAUCCCAGGGCUCAACCUUGGAACUGCAUUUUUAACUACCGGACUAGAGUAUGUCAGAGGGAGGUGGGAUUCCACGUGUAGCAGUGAAAUGCGUAGAUAUGUGGAGGAACACCGAUGGCGAAGGCAGCCUCCUGGGAUAAUACUGACGCUCAUGCACGAAAGCGUGGGGAGCAAACAGGAUUAGAUACCCGGGUAGUCCCUGUCUCUUAUAC